UUUCUCAUCUCUUGCUACUACUCCCUAUUUUGUCCAUUGUGCCAUAAAUUUCAUUGACCAUAAAUUUCAUUGACCAUACUUGCAUUAUCUCAAGAAAUUAGCUCACGCCACCAUCAAUACCAUCAUCCUUUAUCACUUUCUCAUCAACACUCUCAGUAUCAUUACCUCCUUGAUCUCACUAUCCAAAGUUUCAUCUCUAUUUUAAUUUCAAGAGUUUCAUCUUAUUUCUAGAAAUUUAUCUUGAAUGAGUGGUGAGAUUUCACAAGGGUUAAGCUCCACUCACUCCCUAUAGGCUCGACUAGUUUGUGGAAACAAAGGUUUUCUUAAAGCAAAUAUUGGUUCUUAAAAUGUUACUGUUGCAAUCAAGGCCACAAUCUCCACAUUCGAGACCAAGGUAACUGAAAGUUUAGAAAGCCAGUGGAGAGUGGAACUUUGGAUGCUUGUGUGUGUGAACUCGUUGAGGGCCAUAUAACUGUGGGCGGUCUAGGGCGCUCUAUUUAUUUAUUUACGCUAUUAAGUUUAUGUCGCAAUUAUUUUAGUUAUUAUUUAUUAUGUCUUUUGUACAAAAACUGGCCAGUUGUGAAUAUUUUCAAGUAUUAAAUAAAAAUGCGACAUUAUAAUUUUCCA